rnacentral:rRNA from 1 species
GCAAGUCGAACGGUAACAGGAAGCAGCUUGCUGCUUCGCUGACGAGUGGCGGACGGGUGAGUAAUGUCUGGAAGCUGCCUGAUGGAGGGGGAUAACUACUGGAAACGGUAGCUAAUACCGCAUAAUGUCGCAAGACCAAAGAGGGGGACCUUCGGGCCUCUUGCCAUCGGAUGUGCCCAGAUGGGAUUAGCUUGUUGGUGGGGUAACGGCUCACCAAGGCGACGAUCCCUAGCUGGUCUGAGAGGAUGACCAGCCACACUGGAACUGAGACACGGUCCAGACUCCUACGGGAGGCAGCAGUGGGGAAUAUUGCACAAUGGGCGCAAGCCUGAUGCAGCCAUGCCGCGUGUAUGAAGAAGGCCUUCGGGUUGUAAAGUACUUUCAGCGGGGAGGAAGGGAGUAAAGUUAAUACCUUUGCUCAUUGACGUUACCCGCAGAAGAAGCACCGGCUAACUCCGUG